rnacentral:rRNA from 1 species
CGUGCAGGUGGCUUGCUAAGUGGUGCGUGAAAGCGCUCGGCUCAACCGGGCGAGGGCGUGCCAAACUGGCAGACUAGAAACAGGCAGAGGAAAGUGGAAUUCGGGGUGUAGUGGUGAAAUGCGUAGAGAUCCCGAGGAACUCCUGUGGCGAAGGCGACUUUCUGGGCCUGCUUUGACACUCAGACGCGAAAGCAUGGGGAGGCGAACG